rnacentral:rRNA from 1 species
ACGGAGGGUGCAAGCGUUGUUCGGAAUUACUGGGCGUAAAGGGCGUGUAGGCGGUAUAAUAAGUUAGGUGUGAAAUCUUUAGGCUUAACCUAAAAAGUGCACUUAAAACUGUUAAACUAGAGUUCGGUAGGGGGAAGUGGAAUUCCUAGUGUAGAGGUGAAAUUCGUAGAUAUUAGGAAGAACACCGGUGGCGAAGGCGGCUUCCUGGACCGAUACUGACGCUGAGACGCGAAAGCGUGGGGAGCAAACAGGAUUAGAUACCCUGGAAGUCCACGCUGUAAACGAUGAUCACUAAGUAUGGGGGGAUUAAUUCCUUCUGUGCUCAAGCUAACGCGUUAAGUGAUCCGCCUGGGGAGUACGGUCGCAAGAUUA